CCUCAGAUCAGGCAGGACUACCCGCUGAACUUAAGCAUAUCAAUAAGCGGAGGAAAAGAAACUAACAAGGAUUCCCCUAGUAACUGCGAGUGAAGCGGGAAGAGCUCAAAUUUAAAAUCUGGCGGCCUCUGGCUGUCCGAGUUGUAAGCUAGAGAAGUGCUGUCCGCGCUGGGGCCAUGUACAAGUCUCCUGGAACGGAGCGUCGUGGAGGGUGAGAACCCCGUCUCUGACAUGGACCUCCCAGGGCAUAGUGAUUGCGCCCUCGAAGAGUCGAGUUGUUUGGGAAUGCAGCUCCAAAUGGGUGGUAAACUCCAUCUAAAGCUAAAUACUGGCGAGAGACCGAUAGCGAACAAGUACCGUGAGGGAAAGAUGAAAAGAACUUUGGAAAGAGAGUUAAACAGUACGUGAAAUUGUUGAAAGGGAAACGCUUGAAGUCAGUCGCGUCGGCCUGGGAUCAGCCCCGCAUCAGCGAGGUGCACUCCCUGGUCGACGGGUCAGCACCAGUUUCGACCGUUGGAGAAAGGUCGGGGGAAUGUGGCAUCUUCGGAUGAGCUUAUAGCCCACGAUCGCAUGCAUCGGUUGGGAUUGAGGAACUCGGCGCGCCGCAAGGCCGGGUCUCAGACCACGUCCGCGCCCAGGAUGCUGGCAC
rnacentral:rRNA from 1 species